UAAGAAUAAGAAUUCAAUAAAGUUUUUUUAACUUACACUUAUGGUGCAACAAUUUUAAAAUUCCUUAAAAGUCAUAGGUACUGAUCAAAAGAAGGAUAAUACUAUACGACUAGUUUAUCCUGAUCAGCGUAAAGUCCGUGAACAAAAAAAGACAAUAAAAAUAUCCGCAAAGAAUAUAAGUGCAAAUCAAUCGCACGCAGAACUUAAACAAAACCCAAAUCGGUCAAUACGCGCUAAUAAAUUAAAGUGCAAAUAUUGAAAAUAUUAAUUUUAUUUGAUGGAAGUCCAUCAGAGCUAAGCUGGUACAUCGUCAGGGUUGAGUACCUCCUACAACUAUACCCUACUCAAGAUGCCCGACAAACUCACACUGUAUAAAGACCCAUCGAAAAGACCACUGUCGACUCAGCGCAAGCAGUCAUCGAAAAAGAAACAACUAACGCUUAAGUAACUACAAAAGCAGCUUUAAUCAAGGCAUUCAAGGAUCUCAGGCUUUAUGAAGACAUCAUCCAGCAUAUGUUGGACACCCCAUAUCAAGGAAGCAUUAAAAGAUUACUUUACACAAGUUUAUUAAAUAAAACUAUUAAGGAUUGUAUCAAGAGAAAACUUCCCUUGUCAUGAUAACCGAAGGUAUUCAGGAUGUUCACAUCAAAAAUUAUUAUAAAAAAUUAUAUUCUCAAUCACAAAAUUAUCCAAAGUAUAAAAAUAACAAUUCAAGGGAUAAUAUUAAUUCAAAUAAUUCAUCAAGUCCUCAAAGUUCACAAAAUAAAAAUCAAAUUCCCCCUAGGAACCAAGGUAACUAUCACGAAAUCUAGAACAAGCUGUUAAGAUACAAAGGGAAACUCGCAGAGCACAGAAUAGGAUAGACGUAAAUUUUCAGCAAACUGCCUCGGAUACAGAAAGUUUUUACCAUAUGUCAGAGUAAUUAUUAAAACUUCUUAGAGCUAUGAUAGACACAGGGUCCUCUAUCAAUUUAAUGAUAAAGAAUUUUGCGGAAAAUAAAGAGGAAGAAGAAAAUUUAAAAGUGUGUACAAUCAACGGAUCAAUGGAACAAACUGCCUCGGAUACAGAAGAAACUCCUUAGAGCUAUGAUAGAUACAGGGUCAUCUAUCAAUUUAAUGACAACUUUGCAGAAAAUAAAGAGGAAGAAGAAAAAUUCAAAGUGUAUACAA